UCUUUUAGUGAACGCUCAAUCGUUGACACAUCAAGUGUUUUCCUUGUCUCGCCGUCUCGUAUAUAAGAAGAUCGAAAUACGCGUUUAUUGUAUUACGUGUCAAUUAACGGUAGUUAAGUCAUUUAACUUAUUUAAAUAAAGCAUUUAAAUAAGAUUACAUACAUUGAAUGCCUUUCUUUUUAUCACGUUUUUCUCUGGUCUCGCGUAUAUUUGUUGUACAAUUGUCACAUCGCAUACGAAGGCGUCCCACGCUCGAUUAACGAUGGAUUAUGGGUUUGUUUGUAUAAGCAUCAAUUUACGAAACGCGGAAUAUACCGUAAAUAUUGUUGAGCAGACACACAAAUGAGCCAGACGACUCUUCUGCCUAUAUCUGGCCCGGUGAGCGGAAUUUCUUCUGUCAACAUAUUUGUUAGAGCCUUAUUUGUGAUACCAUGAGAACUACGGAUUUUUACAGCUUUCGUAUUAUACCACUUAGAAAUCUAGUAUAAUUCCAAGUUGAUGAUUUUCUUCACGUGGGGAGAUAUGUAUACGUGUGUAUUGUACAUGCUUAUAUUUUCCACUCAAGAGCACCUAUAUUUUGCGCGCUGAUAAGUAACUAUUGAAAUGGAAUUUUUUCCGUCGAGUAAGUUCGUCGAUCUAUCGACUAAUUGUGCGACCGAAUGGAAAUUUACAACUAAAAGCUUAUUAUCAUAGAGCUUCUCAAGGUGCGAGAUGAGAUUAGGAAACAUGGAGGAAAAUGAAUGGAAUAUUACAGAGUUCAGGAAGAAUCCUACAUGAUAAAUGCACACUUUACUAACAAUAAGAAUUCAAGAAAUUCGAAUAAUAUACCGAUAAAACGAGCUUUUUGCUGAAGGAGGUCAAAGUGACACAAAUAAGAAUAAUAAAUAUUAGCGAUCGCUAUUAAUUGAUAAUAAGACUUUGCAUUGAUAACAUGAAUAAAGAUAAAAAAGAUUGAGCGAUAACAUGUCACAAUUAAUGUAAAGCAAAUUCGAAAGGUUCUUUUGCCACUUCUGUCCACAUCUGGAGUAUCUUUUAUUCGUAAUAUUCUGUAAUAUUUAAAAAUAACAAUUUUCCGAUAUGUAGAAUAAAAAAAGAUUAGGAAGAUCCGUUAAAAUACAUACUCUUUGUUACGAAAAUGUCUUUUACACAUAAACUAUCUUUAGCUGUUAUAAAUCUUU